GAUGAAUAACGUAGCGAAAUGCGAUAAGUAAUGUGAAUUGCAGAAUUCAGUGAAUCAUCGAAUCUUUGAACGCACAUUGCGCCCGCCAGUAUUCUGGCGGGCAUGCCUGUUCGAGCGUCAUUUCAACCAUCAAGCCCCAGGCUUGUGUUGGGGACCUGCGGCUGCCGCAGGCCCUGAAAACCAGUGGCGGGCUCGCUGUCACACCGGGCGUAGUAGAUUUUAUCUCGCUCAGGGCGUGCUGCGGGUUCCGGCCGUUAAAAAGCCUUUUUUACCCAAGGUUGACCUCGGAUCAGGUAGGAAUACCCGCUGAACUUAAGCAUAUCAAUAAGCGGAGGA
rnacentral:misc_RNA from 1 species